rnacentral:rRNA from 1 species
ACGGCUGAGGAAGACGGAAGGAACACCCUUCAGAGGGGGAUAACUCCGCGAAAGCGGGGCUAAGACCGCGUACGCUCAUUCUGGGGAGAACGGAGUGAGGAAAACCGCGAGGUGCUGAAGGAGGGGCUUCCGGCCCAUCAGGUAGUUGGUGAGGUAACGGCCCACCAAGCCGAUGACGGGUCGCUGGUCUAAGAGGAUGAUCAGCCAGACUGGGACUGAGACACGGCCCAG